CAAUCUGAGAGUUUGAUCCUGGCUCAGAACGAACGCUGGCGGCAGGCCUAACACAUGCAAGUCGAACGCCCCGCAAGGGGAGUG
rnacentral:rRNA from 1 species